rnacentral:rRNA from 1 species
CCUACGGGAGGCAGCAGUGGGGAAUAUUGGGCAAUGGGCGCAAGCCUGACCCAGCAACGCCGCGUGAAGGAAGAAGGCUUUCGGGUUGUAAACUUCUUUUCUGGGGGACGUACAAAUGACGGUACCCCAGGAAUAAGCCACGGCUAACUACGUGCCAGCAGCCGCGGCAAUACGUAGGUGGCAAGCGUUAUCCGGAUUCAUUGGGUGUAAAGGGCGUGUAGGGGGGAAUGCAAGUCAGAUGUGAAAACUCAGGGCUCAACCGUGAGCUUGCAUUUGAAACUGUGUUUCUUGAGUGCUGGAGAGGCAAGCGGAAUUCGGGGUGUAGCGGUGAAAUGCGUAGAUAUCACGAGGAACACCAGUGGCGAAGGCGGAUUGCUGGACAGUAACUGACGCUGAGGCGCGAAAGCGUGGGGAGCAAACAGGAUUAGAUACCCGAGUAGUC